UGCCAGCAGCCGCGGUAAUACGGAGGGUGCAAGCGUUAUCCGGAUUUACUGGGUUUAAAGGGUGCGUAGGUGGGUAGGUAAGUCAGUGGUGAAAUCUUCAAGCUUAACUUGGAAACUGCCAUUGAUACUAUUUAUCUUGAAUACUUUGGAGGUAAGCGGAAUAUGUCAUGUAGCGGUGAAAUGCUUAGAUAUGACAUAGAACACCAAUUGCGAAGGCAGCUUACUACACAGUUAUUGACACUGAGGCACGAAAGCGUGGGGAUCAAACAGGAUUAGAUACCCUGGUAGUCCACGCCCUAAACGAUGGAUACUCGACAUUAGCGAUACACAGUUAGUGUCUGAGCGAAAGCAUUAAGUAUCCCACCUGGGAAGUACGAUCGCAAGAUUGAAACUCAAAUAAAUUGACGG
rnacentral:rRNA from 1 species